rnacentral:misc_RNA from 1 species
UAUGUUAGUUUAUGGUAAAGUUUAUGAAUUAUUUUCUGAGGUUAAAAAAAAAGGCAUACACUUACAAGAAAAGAAAAUUGUUAAAAGUUGAUUAAAUCAAAAUUGUACGAGAGAGAUGAAAGGCAAAAAAGCCAUACAAGCGCUCUAUUCCAGCUCAAAUUCAGGAAGUGUGCGCAUCAAAGCACUGUCUGAAUGGAGUUCUGUCAGUAAUGGACCACUUGCCUCACAAUGCCUUGAAUCCCUAUGACUUGACAACAGCCCAAACACCCCAAAGCUCACAAGCAAGACCCCAAUUGCAUGCCCAAUAAAUAACAAAUUAACCAAUGCCACACCCCUCAAUCCAUCCUCUUCAAGAUCACACUUCAACUCAGCAUUUUCACUUUCUGGCGAAACCAUUAUUUUAUGACAACCCUUGAACGCAAAAACCUCAGUAUACAAGCACAAACCAGCUUGCAAAAACCAAGUCCCCCUUAAAACCAACCCACAACAAAAACAAAACUCCAUGAAAAAGGCAGUAGGCCUAAUAGCCAAAUACAAACAGCAGCAACCACAAAUAAUGGUCAAAUCACCACAUAAACCGUAAAAAAACCCCACCAACGUGACCAGAAAUCCCGUUCCCAAUAAUUGUAUACUCCAUGAAAAACACAAUCCCCGUUAAUACAAACAAGAAAUUAUCAUUAAGGGUUAAUGGGUCAAUGGUAUCUCGCAAAAGAAAUAAAAUGAUCAACGCCCAAUAAAGGAAAAGAACCAGGGAUUGAUGCAUGAAGGAGAAACGAUAAGCGGGGUGACCGUUAGAAGACAAGAAAAGGAAGAUUUCAGAGAAAGAAGCAAUUGGGAGGGCUAUAGUGAGGAUAUAUAAAUCGAGAUUCUUCCAUUUGGUCUCAGAGAGAUACCACGUUUUGGAUCUGAACAAAGAUGGGUUCUUGAUGUAGAGAGAAGACGAGCAGAAGAGGCGGCGCAGCCCAAUGGGGAGAAGGAAUAGGGCGGCGGAAAAAUGUGUCGCCAUCGAUGCCAUUUGUGCUGUUGAUAAUGUGGUAUUUACGGUCUUGGAUUGUUU